rnacentral:rRNA from 1 species
UAGCUUGCUACCUGACCUAGCGGCGGACGGGUGAGUAAUGCUUAGGAAUCUGCCUAUUAGUGGGGGACAACAUUCCGAAAGGAAUGCUAAUACCGCAUACGCCCUACGGGGGAAAGCAGGGGAUCUUCGGACCUUGCGCUAAUAGAUGAGCCUAAGUCAGAUUAGCUAGUUGGUGGGGUAAAGGCCUACCAAGGCGACGAUCUGUAGCGGGUCUGAGAGGAUGAUCCGCCACACUGGGACUGAGACACGGCCCAGACUCCUACGGGAGGCAGCAGUGGGGAAUAUUGGACAAUGGGCGAAAGCCUGAUCCAGCCAUGCCGCGUGUGUGAAGAAGGCCUUUUGGUUGUAAAGCACUUUAAGCGAGGAGGAGGCUACUUGGAUUAAUACUCUAGGAUAGUGGACGUUACUCGCAGAAUAAGCACCGGCUAACUCUGUGCCAGCAGCCGCGGUAAUACAGAGGGUGCGAGCGUUAAUCGGAUUUACUGGGCGUAAAGCGUGCGUAGGCGGCUUUUUAAGUCGGAUGUGAAAUCCCUGAGCUUAACUUAGGAAUUGCAUUCGAUACUGGGAAGCUAGAGUAUGGGAGAGGAUGGUAGAAUUCCAGGUGUCGCGGUGAAAUGCGUAGAGAUCUGGAGGAAUACCGAUGGCGAAGGCAGCCAUCUGGCCUAAUACUGACGCUGAGGUACGAAAGCAUGGGGAGCAAACAGGAUUAGAUACCCUGGUAGUCCAUGCCGUAAACGAUGCCUACUAGCCGUUGGGGCCUUUGAGGCUUUAGUGGCGCAGCUAACGCGAUAAGUAGACCGCCUGGGGAGUACGGUCGCAAGACUAAAACUCAAAUGAAUUGACGGGGGCCCGCACAAGCGGUGGAGCAUGUGGUUUAAUUCGAUGCAACGCGAAGAACCUUACCUGGUCUUGACAUAGUAAGAACUUUCCAGAGAUGGAUUGGUGCCUUCGGGAACUUACAUACAGGUGCUGCAUGGCUGUCGUCAACUCGUGUCGUGAGAUGUUGGGUUAAGUCCCGCAACGAGCGCAACCCUUUUCCUUAUUUGCCAGCGGGUUAAGCCGGGAACUUUAAGGAUACUGCCAGUGACAAACUGGAGGAAGGCGGGGACGACGUCAAGUCAUCAUGGCCCUUACGACCAGGGCUACACACGUGCUACAAUGGUCGGUACAAAGGGUUGCUACCUAGCGAUAGGAUGCUAAUCUCAAAAAGCCGAUCGUAGUCCGGAUUGGAGUCUGCAACUCGACUCCAUGAAGUCG